AUAUCCAGUUUUCUCAAUACUUUUCGUUCAAGAGACUGUCCUUUCCCCAUUAAGUGUCCUUGUUGAACACCAUUUGAACAUAUACAUGACAGUUUAUUUCAGUCCCUUCUAUUCCAUUGGUAUAUUUGUUUGUCUUUAUAUCAGUGACUCAUUGUUUUUAUUACUAUGGUUUUAUAAUAUCUUUUGAAAUCAGGAAGUUGGGUCUUCUAACUUUCCAAAAUUGUUUUGGCUAUUUGGGGUCCUUGAAAUUCCAUAUGAAUUUUAGGAUGAAUUUUUCUAUUUCUGCAAAAAAUGCUGGUGGGGGGAGUUCCCGUGGUGGCGAAGCAGAAACGAAUCUGACUGGUAUCCAUGAGGAUGUGGGUUCAAUCCCUGGCCUCGCUCAUGGUUAACGAACCCCACUAGUAUCCUUGAGGACGCGGGUUGGAUCCCUGGCCUUGCUCAAUCCCUAGCCUGGGAACCUCCAUAUGCCAUGGGUGCAGCCCUAAAAAGACAAAAGACAAAAAAUGAACAAAUAAAGUUAGAGAUAGAAGCUGGAUAGAUUCAGGUUCAACUCUUCCUCUCUUUUGGUAGAAGACUUCACUGCUUUCAGUGCUACUAAGAUUGAUCCAUGGGUCCCGAUGCUGUCAGCUUGGCGUCUCCACUGCAAAGUUCUACGUCAUCUUUUCUUCGAAUGUUUCGGCAGUUACCGAUGACUGCUGCCUAAAGCCAUUAUUUCACUAGGGAUUGUAAAAUGGUGAUUUCUUUUUUUUUAAAGUUUGAUACAUUUAAUACAGAAUUUAGUAGGCCAGACUACCAAAUAGACUUUCUGGGAAUAAUUAGUUACAUUUUAUAUAUUCAAGAGACAAUGGAAACUUCCUUUACCUCAGCUCUGAAUUCUGAAAGAGUUUUUGUGGUACUUAGAAAUAUAAUCCACCUGGAGUUCCUGCAUGGCUCAGCGGGUUAAGGACCUGGCCUUGUCACUGCAGUGGCUUGGAUUGUUGCUAUGGCACAAGUUUGAUUCCCUGGCCUGGAAACUUCCACAUGCUGCAGGCAUGGCCCCCCCAAAAAAAAUAAGUAUAUGUGUGUGUGUGUUUUAUACACACACACACACACACACACACACGUAUGUAAAAUCCUACCAUCAACUCCAAAGCAACGAUUUUUUUUCUUGUUUCUUUUUUUUGUUUUUUGGGUUUUUUUUGCUGUACCCUCAGCAUGUGGAAAUUCUCAACCAGGGAUCAAACCUGUGCAACAGCAGCGACCCAAGCUGCUGCAGUGAUAAUCCUGGGUGGUUACCUACUGCCCCACAAGAAACCUCCAACCUGAUGUGUUUCAUUCCAUCAAAAUAAUAAAUCUUCCAGGGCUCAAAAUAUCUCAUUUUGGGCCACCUGGAGCCCCUUCUAACUGACUUCAUGUCAUUUUGUUGUGGCCCUAAUAGUUGUUGAUAGUUUUAGGCUUGUUUUGUACAUAUUCUGCCCUAGAAUUGAAUUAAGUGAUUUCAUAAGGAGCCCUUGUUCCUUUUAGUGGGAAAUAUUUAGAGACCAUAAGCUAAGUACUAAGUGCUAGUGGCUCAUGUCAUUUCUAAGCUGCUUUUGUGACUGCUGCUAGGAUAUAAAUAUUUUAUUUAGAGAAAAAAAUUUUAGGUUACAUUAGUGUUUCCAAUUUAAAUGGAAGAUUUUUAAAAAAUAGACUAUUUUUUUAGGUUUUUAUUUUUUCUCUUAUAGCUGAUUUACAUUGUUCUGUAGACUUCAUUUUUUUUUAAAGCAGUUUUAGGUUCAUAGCAAAAUCAAGCUUUCCUGAUUACAGCAUUUUUACUUAACUUCCUUUGAUUUUAUGUUCGUUUCUAUUUUACAUUGAAAAUGCUGGUUCCUAGCAAUCUGAUGUAAUUACUAUGUAUUUUAUAGAUUCAAAUAGUAAUGAAAUAUUAUUAAUAGGAUGAAUCUACUAGAUGCAGGUUUAUUUGUUUUACCUGAAUGCAGUUCAGGAUGUAUUUUUAGGAGUUCCUUUUGUGGCUCAGAGGUAAUAAACCUGACUAAUAUCCAUGAGGACUUGGGUUUGAUCCCUACCCUUGCUCAAUGGGUUAAGUGUUGCCAUGAGCUAUGGUGUAGGUCAUAGAUGUGGCUCAGAUCUGUUGUGGCUGUGGCUGUGGCACAGGCCGGCAGCUGUAGCUCCGGUUUGACUCCUAGCCUGGGAAUUUCCAUAUGCCACAGGUGAGGCCCUAAAAAGACCAACAACAAAAAUGUGUUUUUAUCCUUAGGCUAAAUAUCGUCAAAAUACUGUUUCAAAUUCACUUAAAAUGAUUUUUUUUCUUGUGUGAAAAGUUAGGUCUGUUUUAACUUUUAAGAGUUAUUUUCGGAGUUCCCAGUGUGGCUCAGCGGAAACGAAUCUGACCAGCAUCCAUGAGGACGCAGGUUUGAUCCCUGGCCUCGCUCAGUGGGUUAAGGAUCCAGCGCUGCCGUGAUAUAUGGUGUAGGUGGCACAUGCGGCUUGGAUCCCGUGUUCCUGUGGCUAUGGCUGGCAGCUAUAGCUCCAGUUUGACUCCUAGCCUGGGAACCUCCAUAUGCCACAGGUGCGGCCCUUAAAAGACAAAAAAAUGUGAUUUUAUAUUUUAAAAUCUUACUUGUGUUUUUUGUUAACUAUGCACUUACCUUUCUCUGAGAUGAGGGGCAGAAUUAAACAUGUAAAUGCCUGUGAGUCCUGGCAGAUUGGGCACUGGUCCUCAAUUGUGCUCACUUCUCCAUUCUGCCAUUUUUCUUUCUCCUCCACUGUCAUUUACUGUCUUUAUCCACAGUCUUUUGGAAUGCUGCACAAAAAUCUUUUGGGAACAAGACAGGCAUAAAUAAAUAAAAUCACCAUGCUGUACAGUAGAAAAAUAUAUAUAAAUAAAUG
rnacentral:lncRNA from 1 species